rnacentral:rRNA from 1 species
AUGUAGAUUUUUUUAUUAUUAAGAAUUAUUAAAAGUAUUUAAUUGUUUGUGUUUUAUUUUGGUAUAAUUAUUUUAAUUAUAGUUUAUUGGUACAGUAAUGGGCUAAUUUAAUAUAUUUAUAAGAAUAUUUUAUUUGUGGUACCUUUUGUAUCAGGGUUGAUUUAAAGUGUAAUUUGUUUUAAUUAAUCCCGAAUUGUGAAGAGCUAAAAUUAUAUAUAUAUUAAUGUUGAAUAAUUAUUUGUAAUAUACUUUUUGUAAUUAUAUGUUAUUCGUUUUUCAAUAUAUCUGGUUUUUGAGGAAAUUAAUUUAAUUAAGCUGAAUUUUGAAUUUUUCUAUAUAUUUAGAUUUUAUUAAGAUUUAUGUAAUGUUUAAGGGGAUAAGCUUUUAAACAAAUUUAUAUAAUUAAAUAUUGUAUUGUUUGAUGUAGGAAUAGAAGUUUUCAUCUUUUGAAGUGUAUUAUUACUUGAUUUUAUAAUAUUUGAUUUUUGUUUUUUUAUAUUUUUUACUUAAAUUAUAAUUUGAAUUGUUUUUGUUUUGUAAUAAUGAUUGAAUUAGUAUAUUAAAUUGUUUUUAUAUUAUUGUUUGGUAGGUUAUCUAAAGGAAUUCGGCAAUUAAAUUUUCUGCCUGUUUAUUAAAAACAUGGCCUUUUGAUAAUAAUUUAAGGUCUGACCUGCUCUAUGAUUAAUUAAAUGGCUGCGGUAUUUUGACCGUGCAAAGGUAGCAUAAUCAUUAGUUUUUUAAUUGGAAGCUGGUAUGAAUGGUUGGACAAGAGAAUUACUGUCUCUGGAUAAUUUGGUUUGAAUUUUAUUUUUUAGUGAGAAAGCUUAAAUUUUUGUGAGGGACGAGAAGACCCUAUAGAAUUUUAUAGAUUAAUUUUGGUGGGGUUUUUAGGUUAAUUGGUUUAGUUUAAAUUAAUUUGUUUUGUUGGGGUGAUAGAAAAAUUUAUUUAACUUUUUUUUACUUUAUACAUUGAUAUAUGAGUAUAUGAUCCAUUAAUUAUGAUUAUAAGAUAAAAUUACCUUAGGGAUAACAGCGUUAUUAGUUUGGAGAGUUCUUAUCGAUAGACUAGAUUGCGACCUCGAUGUUGGAUUAAAAUUAAUUUUUGGUGUAGGGGCUAAAUAAUUAAGUCUGUUCGACUUAUAAUAUUUUACAUGAUCUGAGUUUAAACCGGCGUGAGCCAGGUUGGUUUCUAUCUUCAUAAAUUUAAGAUGUUUUAGUACGAAAGGACCAAAUAUUUGUUAUAUUAAUUUUUUGUUGAUUAAGGUU